GGGCAAAAUAUAUAUAUAACUGCAAGAGGACAAAUUUGGCACUUCUUUUAAAAGACCUCGGAUUUUCUUAAGAGAAAGAUGACAACAGGAGGGCUUUAAUGAAAAAACCGCAUGUGGUUACUUUAAGAAAAUUAUUUUUAGAUGAGACGUGGGACUUUGCAAAUGGAACCAUGCAGAAGUCAUGACAAGAUGAAGACGUGCGAUCAGUAAAACGAAUUACUGGAGAUGGGGAUUGUUAUGUUGUUGUUCAUGCUGGUAAUGAGC